rnacentral:misc_RNA from 1 species
AAAAGAAAAAGAUAAAGGAUAGUCAAACCAAAAUACUUGUCUGCCAUAUUUUUCCGAUAUUAGUAUAUAUAGGCUUGGUCUCCUUUUGAAGAGGAUCUCUGAUUGCCGAUGUUUUGGUCUAAGGGUUUGUGGCUGUUUAUUAUGGAGAAGGGUUCAUUCAUUCAAUUCAUUGAUGUUGAUAUAGCGCGUAUAUACCCAAAGUAUUAAGACAGGCUUGAAUUUUUAGUCCAGGAAGUUGGCAUGUUUACUUGCUCUAUAGUUGGUGAAAAUUUGCAAUUUGAUAUUGUCUGCCCUAAAAGUCGUGGAAUUUUAACCAUGAAUCGCACCCUCCUCCAACCUCCAUGCAACACACGCACACAAAGAAAGA